AUGAUAACCCGGUUAAUAUUUGAAGUCUAUAUCUGCAACAACCUAAAAGGAGAUACUUCUGUCAACAGAAUUUGCAAAUAUUGGAAGCUCUUUCUGACUUUCAAAUUUUAUAUUUUAUUUGUCUUUAUUUUAGUUUGUUUCUUACAUUUGCAAUCAGUUAAUUUUAGGGGUCACUCUAUUGAAGAUGACAACUAUCCAUUCAGUGGAUUUCAGUGUUAUCAAAUAUCAGCCACGGAGGCGCUAUCGCAGAUAUACUUGGCAGUUUUUGGGCUUGCCGCAAUGGUAAAUAUCGGCCGAUAUUGA